GAUGAACGCUGGCGGCGUGCCUAAUACAUGCAAGUCGAGCGAACGGACGAGAAGCUUGCUUCUCUGAUGUUAGCGGCGGACGGGUGAGUAACACGUGGAUAACCUACCUAUAAGACUGGGAUAACUUCGGGAAACCGGAGCUAAUACCGGAUAAUAUUAUGAACCGCAUGGUUCAAAAGUGAAAGACGGUCUUGCUGUCACUUAUAGAUGGAUCCGCGCUGCAUUAGCUAGUUGGUAAGGUAACGGCUUACCAAGGCAACGAUGCAUAGCCGACCUGAGAGGGUGAUCGGCCACACUGGAACUGAGACACGGUCCAGACUCCUACGGGAGGCAGCAGUAGGGAAUCUUCCGCAAUGGGCGAAAGCCUGACGGAGCAACGCCGCGUGAGUGAUGAAGGUCUUCGGAUCGUAAAACUCUGUUAUUAGGGAAGAACAUAUGUGUAAGUAACUGUGCACAUCUUGACGGCACCUAAUCAGAAAGCCACGGCUAACUACGUG
rnacentral:rRNA from 1 species